GGCCACCUUCAAGAAUUGAAAAAGAAGUUUAAGCACUGUUAUCAAUAUCAUCCAGCGUAACAGCUUUAUUCAACUGGAGCUAUCAGAGAAAUAUGCAACUGCGAAGUUCUCACGGGAGAAGUCCUGAGCACACUGCAAGGCAUCCUGGGACCACAGUCUCAAGGGUCACAGAGGAAGGGACUUCGGGGCUGAGACCUGCAGGAAGUGAGGGAACUGCAGGCCUGUCCUCACCCAGGGGAGGUGGAGCCCCCAGACGCUGUGAUAUGAAAUUCCAGAUCAUGGGAGGGAGAGUUUGAAGAAGGAAGAACCACCAAUAGAAAGCGGUCCCCAAAGAGGUAUCGGGGAUGGCACCCAGACAGGAGCACAUGUACCACUGCCCAGAAUGUGCAUUUCACUAGACAAGUGACCACAAAAGGCGGAGCACAGAGGACUUUUAGGAUGGUGAAGCUACCCAGUGAGAGACUACAAUGAGAUAAUUGGUCUUUCACAUUCCUCGUGCUGUCACCAAAAAUAACAGAGCAACAGCAGGGUGGAGGAAGAGCACCAGCACGGUGGAGGAAGAGCACCAACAUGGCAGAUAAAGAGCACCAACAUGGCGGAGGAAGAGCACCAACAUGGCGGAGAAAGAGCACCAACAUGGCAGAGGAAAAGCACCAACAUGGCGGAGGAAGAACACCAACAUGGCGGAGGAAGAACACCAACAUGGCGGAGAAACAGCACCAACAUGGCGGAUGAAGAGCACCAACAUGAAGCUAACCGCGUUCUCUUCACAGUUUGCCUUUCUUCCUCUUCUUCGUUGCUUUGACCGUCCUGCACAUAUCCAUUCUUAUGUCCAUCACCAAGACCUGAAAACCUCCACUGACUGGCUUCCCUACAGACUGAGAAUAUGGCAGAAAAGCUUAUAAAUCACAGCUGUGCAUUGUCCAAUCAACAUUCAACAGUGAUUCUUUUGAAAGUGACUGUGAAGAUCUGAAACUCUCAAGGAAACACAGAGAA
rnacentral:lncRNA from 1 species